UUUUCUCCAGGCAGAGCACAUUGCACUCUUCUCUGUACUACCAAGGGUUGGCUGAUCCGUCUGAACCACAGGAGAGGAUGAGCACAUGACUGUGAACGGAUGAGAAAAAAGGUGGCAAAGGAGUGAUUAUGUGUCUUCUCAAGGAUGUUGACAUUUGGAACCUGAUUUCCCCCUUCCACACAUUUCUUCCCCAGGAGCAUGCAUUUCCCAAGCAAUUUCCCAAAAUAUUGCUUAUUAACCAUGGGAAAAGCAAUUCUCCACAAAAGUGAGAAUGGACCACAAACGAAUCACACUUACCAGAGAGACUGAAUAGAUUGAUAGAAUCUGACAUUCAGAUGUGUGAGACAUUUGGUGCCAA
rnacentral:lncRNA from 10 species